rnacentral:rRNA from 1 species
AACGAACGCUGGCGGCAGGCCUAACACAUGCAAGUCGAGCGCGCCUUCGGGUGAGCGGCGGACGGGUUAGUAACGCGUGGGAAUAUGCCCAGAUCUACGGAAUAGCCUCGGGAAACUGAGAGUAAUACCGUAUACGCCCUUCGGGGGAAAGAUUUAUCGGAUUUGGAUUAGCCCGCGUUGGAUUAGGUAGUUGGUGGGGUAAUGGCCUACCAAGCCUACGAUCCAUAGCUGGUUUGAGAGGAUGAUCAGCAACACUGGGACUGAGACACGGCCCAGACUCCUACGGGAGGCAGCAGUGGGGAAUCUUAGACAAUGGGGGAAACCCUGAUCUAGCCAUGCCGCGUGAGUGACGAAGGCCCUAGGGUCGUAAAGCUCUUUCGCCAGGGAUGAUAAUGACAGUACCUGGUAAAGAAACCCCGGCUAACUCCGUGCCAGCCGCCGCCGUAAUAC